rnacentral:ncRNA from 2 species
AAUUUUGCAGCCGAUUAUGGUUCUCGAAUUUUAUUUUACAUAAAACGAGUUAAAAGGGAAUUCGGUUAAAAUCCGAAGCUGUUCCCGCAACUGUAUGCUUAGUCGACGAAAUCGAUGGUUGUUAUUAAACUUAAACCACUGUUAAUUAACGGGAAGGUAAAUAACAAUACGUAAGCCAGGAGACCUGCCACAAUCUUAAUUAAUUA